UACGUAGGGUGCAAGCGUUGUCCGGAAUUAUUGGGCGUAAAGCGCGUGUAGGCGGUUCGGUAAGUCCGCUGUGAAAGUCGGGGGCUCAACCCUCGAAAGCCGGUGGAUACUGUCGGACUAGAGUGCGGAAGAGGAGAGUGGAAUUCCUGGUGUAGCGGUGAAAUGCGCAGAUAUCAGGAGGAACACCGGUGGCGAAGGCGGGUCUCUGGGCCGAUACUGACGCUGAGGAGCGAAGACGUGGGGAGCGAACAGG
rnacentral:rRNA from 1 species